GGGGGGGGGGGGGGGGGGGGCGGGCGCGGGGGAGGGGGGCGAUUGCGGGCGGGGGGUAGUGGCGCACGGGUGAGUAACGCGUGGGGAUCUGCCCUUAGGUUCGGAAUAACAGCUGGAAACGGCUGCUAAUACCGGCUGAUAUCGCGAGAUCAAAGAUUUAUCGCCUGAGGAUGAGCCCGCGUUGGAUUAGGUAGUUGGUGGGGUAAAGGCCUACCAAGCCGACGAUCCAUAGCUGGUCGGAGAGGAUGAUCAGCCACACUGGGACUGAGACACGGCCCAGACUCCUACGGGAGGCAGCAGUGGGGAAUAUUGGACCAUGGGCGCAAGCCUGAUCCAGCAAUGCCGCGUGAGUGAUGAAGGCCCUAGGGUUGUAAAGCUCUUUUACCCGGGAAGAUAAUGACUGUACCGGGAGAAUAAGCCCCGGCUAACUCCGUG
rnacentral:rRNA from 1 species